CAUAUUUGUUAUUCUGCUGGUUUUGAGACAAAUUUUGUGUUUAUUGGUAAGACCGAGUGUUGAUUGAUAGGACCGAACAUUCUAGAAAUUGCUUUGGGUAAUAAUCAGGGUAAUCAACGCCGACAUGGACGGGAGUCGUGUCAGUCUGUUUACCGCGUUCGUGUUGUCAAGAUGCCAAGAAGCUGCGAUUGUGUUUUGUUUAUAUGGCGAUUCCAAGGCCGUCUUAUUCAGCAUUUUCAGAAGCCAAAAAUAAUUCAGUUUAGCUGGCGAGUCCAAGAACUGAUUUUUACUUUCUGUCAUGCGUCUCGCAUGUCAUCAGGGCCUGACUGAAUGUUCCGAAGAUCUCAAAUACAUCGACUGGAAAAGGUUGAAGAAAAUUUUCUAAUAUUCUGUAUUCAAGAUAACCGGCCACGACAUCAAACCAACUAAGGCCAACUGAACGUAUAGUUUCGUUUGUCGUUUAUGUUCGUUGUACGAACACUUCUUGAUGUAGAAUCAGAGCCAUCGGGCGAAACGCAAAGGGCGCGAAGAUGGAAGAUAGGACUCUACGCUUCGCUGGAAGGAUAUUUCUCUUGUGUGAUCGAUCGUCCUGCAAGCAUCGAAGUGACCUUCAUAAUCUAAACCUUCGCCGCAGCAUUUAUAAUUCAACUGAGCUUAAAACACUGAUAAGGCUAAACACAGUCAAGUCAUACUGCGAAACCACGAGGCACAAACUGAACACAAUCGUCUAAUCAAGCCUAAACCAAUGCUUCAAACAAUCACUUGUAAUAAAAUAUUGCCACGCGUAUUAUAUCGUGCUAAGGCUCUAAACUGUGAACAUUUAUGGAACGCCUAACGAAACAUGCUAUUAUAAGCUAAGGCCCAAUAAGACUUUCUUCUUGAGAAUCCAUCUUAUGAGUAUUGUUCAAAUUUUAAUUUGAUAGUAUUUUGAAUCUACCUGUUUUAUUUCGUAGCAGAGUGCAAGUAAAGUUUCAAUUCUCGUCUAUUCUGUUUUUAAAAUUGCUGUGGGAUUGGAGUGGAUGUUUACGCGGGGCUAGAUGCUGUUUAAAAUGUGUUCAAUUCAAUAAAAUAUCAAGCUCCGUGUAUGGUUUACUGCAUAUUGAUUUAUGUUAACCUUUAAAAUAAAAAGGUUAAAUAAAACACUUAUACAAUAUCUCAACGGCCAGUUAUUUUAUUGCUAUUUUGAAUAAGAUUUAUAUUUUUGUGCCAAGUACGUUUACAUAUUAUUUUAGGGAAUUGUGGUCACUAUUAGUGUCUUUGGGAAAAUUGAAAUGAAGCUGUUCUCAAAAAUGAUUAUUUUCAUUGUCCAAAUGCACUUUUUCGACAAUAAAUGUGCGACUAGUUUUUGUUUUGUGCCCGGAAUCUUGCAUUUGUGUGCUAUUUUAACAUAAUUUCCCUUAUUUGUGUUCGUGCAAGCCUAUUUAAUAAAUGGAACAGUU